GUCAGAUAGCUCAGUUGGUAGAGCAGAGGACUGAA
rnacentral:tRNA from 1 species